CACUGCAAAUACAUCAGAUAAACACUUGAAAUCAGUAGAAGGCUUUAAAACAAACACAUAGGAGAUUACAUAGGAGGAACUACUCUGAGCUGAUACUCACUCCUGGUUUGGGCAAUCUCAACGCUUAUAUAUAGAUCACAGGUGGUUAAAGAGACUUAAAUCAAGGCAAAUUAAGACGUUUUUUGCUGUCUUUACCCCAUUGGACAUGUGUAGUGGGUAGUAUCGCAACUUAUUUCCCCGAGGAGGCAUUUCUCGUACACACCCGGCCCCAGCCGUGGAGGGAGGAGGCUGGUGUGUUAUUUUUGUGUUUUUUGAAGCGAAUUAUCCUGUUGCCGAGGGAGCCAUGCAUCUAGAAACGGCCAGGGAAGGAGACGGUGGCUGAGUGGUUAGCGUGCCGGUCCUGCGUUCGCUGCGUCAUGGAUGAUGAGGGUUUCAAUCUGCUGCUGCCACAGACUACUUGUCCUGAAGACCACCACCAUCAUCCUGGACUGUAUGGGACUGUCCAAGGAAGGCUAGAUGGGGCAGCUAUAAACACUUGCCGGCUUGGGCCCACCACCAGGCCCAGCCAAGGGAGGUUGGUGUAGCAGUGCUGGGAGGUUCCAUAACACAGGGCACUCCUCACCUCAACAACAGUCUCUUCACCGACAAGUAAUUCUUCACCAACAAGCUUUUCAGCAGCUUGGAGGAAUAGCAGAUGUGAGUGAUCCUGUUUUAACCACGUCUAAUAAGUGUCAACAGCUGUUCCAACCAUUCCGAUUUGAGGUAGUGUGUCAGCCUCUGAGGCCGGUCCGUCCAUCCCUGUCAGUAUCCUGCGUGAUACAGGUGCCUCGCACAGUAUUGUGACACUACCAAACGAAGAAGAGGAGGAGGAGGAGGAGGAGGACUGGGAAGAAGACGAGGAACACAGGAGGAACCCAUUGAGAGAACAAGAAGAAGAAGAAGAAGAAGAAGAGGAGGACACAGGAAUUCCUUGAAUUGAAUGGCUGGCGUCUCGGUCUGCCUGCCUGUGGGACACCGCACACUCUGGAAGAAGAAAGAACACCAAGAUGUCAAGUUCCUGCAUAAUCAGCCUCUUAGUGAAGGAAAUGUGCUCUAUUUAUUUAAUAAAUGAUUGACAAAAAAAUAAU